rnacentral:ncRNA from 1 species
ACUGAUGUAUUCAACGAGCAUAUAGCCUUAGGCGAUAAGCCCCAUGUAAUCUUUGAAAUUUCAUCGUAAUGGGGAUAGAUCAUUGCAAUUGUUGGUCUUCAAC